rnacentral:rRNA from 1 species
UGGGGAAUAUUGCACAAUGGAGGGAACUCUGAUGCAGAGACGCCGCGUGAGUGAUGAAGGAAUUCGUUUCGUAAAACUCUGUUCUAUGGGAAGAAAAGGACUGUACCAUAGGAGAAAGCUCCGGCUAAAUACGUGCCAGCAGCCGCGGUAAUACGUAUGGAGCGAGCGUUGUCCGGAAUUAUUGGGCGUAAAGGGUGCGCAGGCGGCUUUACAAGUUGGAUGUGAAAUAUUGUGGCUCAACCACAAACGUGCAUCCAAAACUGCAAAGCUUGAGUUAAGGAGAGGUAAGUGGAAUUCCUGGUGUAGCGGUGGAAUGCGUAGAUAUCAGGAGGAAUACCGGUGGCGAAGGCGACUUACUGGACUUAAACUGACGCUCAGGCACGAAAGCGUGGGGAGCAAACAGG